rnacentral:lncRNA from 1 species
AUCAACAUAAAGCUAUGUGGUCGCAGGGUAUUUUCUCUCUCUUUUGCUUUUGAAAACACUAUUAGUUGGUCCUACUUACUCAUGGACAUGGACGUGUAUCUGAAAUAUGUAACAAAAGAUACCCCAAUUAACAUAUUUCAGAUUCACAAAAAUAAAGACAGCACCCUCUAGUGGAUUUUUCAUCUGAAACUUGCAACAAAACCUACCUGGAGAACGU